CUGUGAUUGUGUGUUUUUUAUCACGGCCACUUCUUGCAUUGCAUUGGAAGCUCGCUCACAGAUUUCCACGUGGGAUCUGGACUUCACAUCAAGAAGAGGAUAGGACUCACAAACUGAGAGAAUGUACUGGCGACCUGUCCAGGGUGCACCCAGCGUCUCGCCCGAUGACAGCUGGGAUGGGCUUCAGCAACACCCCCCGCGACACUCUACAGGACAAGCGUUUACAGAACACGAAUCUUCUUGUUUUCCUUUGUUUUUGUCCUGCAGCACGGGUAAGAUACAACGGAUGAAAUGUCUGAUUUAUUGUAUGUAUGUAUUGUAUGUAACUGUAUUUAUGUCAUUCUGUGCAUGUAACAGCUGCUUUAGAAAAUGACUUCUUAAAAUUUGACUUUGCUACUACCUAAAUAAGUAAGGCAUGCCCCCUUUUUUUUCUAUUGUGUGGGUCUUGUUGAUGCAGUCACAGGACUUUGUGCAGCCGGCUACACAGAUAUGUGACAGUCAAUCCUAUUAAGCUAACCCUCUUUAAUCUUUUGUAUUGUAACACUGGAAAGGAUGAACUACGCUGGUGGACAUUUGAUAGCUGUACAGUAACAUUUGUGCAGUUUUUUUCUUGUCCCUUUGCCUAGAUAUGUGUUUUUGAGUCACAUGCUGAAGAGUCCUCGAGAGUCUUUGUGAAUGUGUAGAUGUGUCACUGACUCUAAAGCACUUUCAGUACCAACAAGUAGAAGGACACUAUAUAAAAAAAAUAAGAUCAUAUUUCCACUGACCAUUGUUUUCCCACUAAAUGACACGACUUCUACAUAAAAGUGUCUGCAGUGCUGUGUUGUCUACUGUCAACAAUGUACAUACUGUUUGUAAUCUGUAUAUUAUAUACUGUAUAUCAUGUAUUCCUACUGUCAAUAGUGCAGAAUCAGAAUUGUGCAGGAUCAUGCAUGCUUAAUUCUCAACUAUCUAUCUAAACGUUUUACACAAUGUCAGUCAUGUAUAUAUUGUCCAUAUUCUGUAAAUAUACUGUAAAAAAAAAAAAAAAAUCUGUUAACCCUGCACAUUCUGUACAUAACAACUCUACACACUUCUGUAUAGAAACUGUAGGACAAGUUCUGUCAUCUCAGCAUAGAUCUGCACUUGCUGUAAAUAAUGCUUUCUUUGCCCAUCUGGUUAGAUGCUAACUGUGUUUAAUUGUUUGUAUACCUGUACUCUGCCCAGUGACACUGAAAUAGAUUCUAAUCUAAUCUGCGGUGACAGUGUAAAGGCGAAGGCGCACCUUCUAGCGCCAUCUGCUGGCCCCGCGCUGAACACGUCUGCUUUAAUUGACUGCAUUCGCAAAUUAUCGCUUUGAUUUGCGCGAAGCUGUAGAGUUAUACAUACUUUUAACAAACUGAAAAUAGCGAAAACAAAUAUUUUAAAAUUCUUUCCACUGUCAGAGUAUCAACCGUUAAGUCUGUCUGUGUUUGCCUCAAUUUUGGAUUUCAUGCAUGUAUGUGCUUAAAACACAAAAUUGCCGCGGAUCCUUUUUGAAGCUGUUGAAGUUUUGAAAAUUGAAAAUGUCUUGGACAUACAUUUAGCAUUUUGAAGAAACUCCAAGACAAUGAAUCUGUAUAUGUGGGUGUCCCAUUUACCCAUUUAAGUAAAUCCUAUUAAAUUCGCAAGCCCGAUUAUUUUAUAAACUCAUCCCGGAUGGCUGCCCACGGUGUUCGUCCACGUACUCAGUAACUGUUCCUCAGGCAAGUGUGAAGCUGUUUAUUGGAUAUCUUUUGCACUACAGCAUGUAUGUACAUAUGUGUAUUUACAGGAAAAAGUAUAUUUUCGUGAGUCUUGACACGUUUCUAAUACUACUACCAAAAUGCGGUUCCAGUGACGUGAAUCUUUAUUCUUUGAAAAGAAAAAUAUUGAAGGACUAAGAACACAAGAUUAAAUGAAAUGCAUUUGUUUCAUGUUCACUGUCCCAUGCAGACACAAACAGUCGCCUCUUGCCUGGAAUCAUUUAUUUGUUUCUCCAUAUUUGCAGUUUAAUAAUUUUUUUUUAAAACAUUUUUUCUUUGCAUAAAACUCUUUAUCUGUAAGUAUAAUAAAAACAAUAUUUCAUCA